CAUAGGGGUUGGUAUUUAGUAUACUACUGUAGACCAGGGCUCAUAGGGGUUGGUAUAUAGUAUACUACUGUAGACCAGGGCUCAUAGGGGUUGGUAUAUAGUAUACUACAUUAGACCAGGGCCCAUAGAGGUUGGUAUAUAGUAUACUACUUUAGACCAGGGCCCAUAGGGGUUGGUAUAUAGUAUACUACAUUAGACCAGGACCCAUAGGGGUUGGUAUAUAGUAUACUACAUUAGACCAGGGCCCAUAGGGGUUGGUAUAUAGUAUACUACUUUAGACCAGGGCCCAUAGGGGUUGGUAUAUAGUAUACUACAUUAGACCAGGGCCCAUAGGGGUUGGUAUAUAGUAUACUACAUUAGACCAGGACCCAUAGAGGUUGGUAUAUAGUAUACUACAUUAGACCAGGACCCAUAGAGGUUGGUAUAUAGUAUACUACUUUAGACCAGGGCCCAUAGGGGUUGGUAUAUAGUAUACUACUGUAGACCAGGGCCCAUAGGGGUUGGUAUAUAGUAUACUACAUUAGACCAGGACCCAUAGAGGUUGGUAUAUAGUAUACUACU